rnacentral:rRNA from 1 species
AACGAACGCUGGCGGCAUGCCUAACACAUGCAAGUCGAACGAGACCUUCGGGCCUAGUGGCGCAGGGGUGCGUAACGCGUGGGAACCUGCCCUUAGGUUCGGAAUAACUCCCCGAAAGGGGUGCUAAUACCGGAUAAUGUCAUCGGACCAAAGAUUUAUGGCCUUUGGAUGGGCCCGCGUUGGAUUAGCUAGUUGGUAGUGUAAAAGCCUACCAAGGCGACGAUCCAUAGCUGGUCUGAGAGGAUGAUCAGCCACACUGGGAAUGAGACACGGCCCAGACUCCUACGGGAGGCAGCAGUGGGGAAUAUUGGACAAUGGGCGAAAGCCUGAUACAGCAAUGCCGCGUGAGUGAUGAAGGCCUUAGGGUUGUAAAGCUCUUUUACCCGGGAUGAUAAUGACAGUACCGGGAGAAUAAGCUCCGGCUAACUCCGUG